rnacentral:rRNA from 1 species
UACGUAGGUGGCAAGCGUUGUUCGGAAUUAUUGGGCGUAAAGAGCUUGUAGGCGGUUUGUCGCGUCUGCUGUGAAAAUCCGGGGCUCAACCCCGGACUUGCAGUGGGUACGGGCAGACUAGAGUGUGGUAGGGGAGACUGGAAUUCCUGGUGUAGCGGUGGAAUGCGCAGAUAUCAGGAGGAACACCGGUGGCGAAGGCGGGUCUCUGGGCAGUAACUGACGCUGAGGAGCGAAAGCGUGGGGAGCGAACAGG